GCUCUUGAAUUAUGUUAUUUCUUCCAUAACUAAACUGAUGCUCUUUUUUGCUGGGUUCCAUGAAGGAUUCAUUUCAUUUCUUACUAGAAGCUGUACUUGGGGAUAGUAUCUUCACUGAUUUUUGCUUUCUCCUCUAACUAAUUCUGGCAUGUUACAACUUGGUUAGAUAAUACAGCACCGUUGCGUGAGCAGUCAGUGGUUACAUAUGCGGCUGAAUGUGGACCAUAUUCUGAUAAGAAUGGAAGUCGUGAUGCACCAGCAGCCUCGGAGAUUGCUCAAUCAUAUGGAUUUAAGAGAUAUGAAUACCAAAAACUAGCAAAAGCAACUCGUUUUUUCUCCAAUGUACACCGCAUUGGCGAGGGUGGUUUUGNNN
rnacentral:lncRNA from 1 species